rnacentral:rRNA from 1 species
GACGUAGGGCGCGAGCGUUGUCCGGAUUUAUUGGGCGUAAAGAGCUCGUAGGCGGUGUGUCGCGUCGGCCGUGAAAACCUGGGGCUCAACUCUGGGCGUGCGGUCGAUACGGGCAUCACUUGAGUUCGGCAGGGGAGACUGGAAUUCCUGGUGUAGCGGUGAAAUGCGCAGAUAUCAGGAGGAACACCAAUGGCGAAGGCAGCUCGCUGGGACGUGACUGACGCUGAGACGCGAAAGCGUGGGGAGCAAACAGG